UUGACUGAUGUAAUACUCAUAUUGAGGAAUUCAUGUUGGGGUUUUCGAUGCCAUUUUUGAGUUGAGGAGAAAGAUAAUUUGGAGGUGCCACAGAGUUUAGAGUAAUCCAUGGAGGCAGGAACAACAAAUAUGAGUUGCUUAGUGUUUGAGAGAAACUAGUGUUUGUAAUGUACUCGCCUACACGUUUUCAGUUCGAGAGUUUUGGAUAUAUAUUCUUUUACAGUGGUUUAGUUGGUGUCUCUUAACCAAUGUUUAAUAUCUUGAAGUUGAAUCCAGCAAAUUUAUAUAAGCCAAUAUAGUAAUUUACCAAUUUGUGUUUAUUUGUUCUCUGCUGCAUCCUCAGUGGUUCGGGACCUUCUUAACGAGGAGGGGGAUCAGAGCAUAGAGCUAGGGGAGCUGGGGCAUUCAGAGCGUCAUAGAGACCUUGGGUACUGCAGGCGCAUUAGGGUGGAGGAGGUCUUAGGGGCGUUGCGCANNNN
rnacentral:lncRNA from 1 species